rnacentral:rRNA from 1 species
UGGGGAAUAUUGCACAAUGGAGGGAACUCUGAUGCAGCGACGCCGCGUGAACGAAGAAGGCUUUCGAGUCGUAAAGUUCUUUUAUAUGGGAAGAUAAUGACGGUACCAUAAGAAAAAGCCCCGGCUAACUACGUGCCAGCAGCCGCGGUAAUACGUAGGGGGCUAGCGUUGUCCGGAAUCACUGGGCGUAAAGGGUUCGCAGGCGGAAAUGCAAGUCAGGUGUAAAAGGCAGUAGCUUAACUACUGUAAGCAUUUGAAACUGCAUAUCUUGAGAAGAGUAGAGGUAAGUGGAAUUUUUGGUGUAGCGGUGAAAUGCGUAGAUAUUAAAAAGAAUACCGGUGGCGAAAGCGACUUACAGGGCUCAUUCUGACGCUGAGGAACGAAAGCGUGGGUAGCAAACAGG